UGGGGAAUAUUGCACAAUGGGCGGAAGCCUGAUGCAGCGACGCCGCGUGGGGGAUGAAGGCCUUCGGGUUGUAAACUCCUUUCGACAGGGACGAAGCUUUUGUGACGGUACCUGUAUAAGAAGCACCGGCUAACUACGUGCCAGCAGCCGCGGUAAUACGUAGGGUGCGAGCGUUGUCCGGAAUUACUGGGCGUAAAGAGCUCGUAGGUGGUUUGUCGCGUCGUCUGUAAAAUUCCGGGGCUUAACUCCGGGCGUGCAGGCGAUACGGGCUGACUUGAGGGCUGUAGGGGAGACUGGAAUUCCUGGUGUAGCGGUGAAAUGCGCAGAUAUCAGGAGGAACACCGAUGGCGAAGGCAGGUCACUGGGCAGUACCUGACGCUGAGGAGCGAAAGCAUGGGUAGCGAACAGG
rnacentral:rRNA from 1 species